GACGAACGCUGGCGGCGUGCUUAACACAUGCAAGUCGAACGGAAAGGCCCUGCUUUUGUGGGGUGCUCGAGUGGCGAACGGGUGAGUAACACGUGAGUAACCUGCCCUUGACUUUGGGAUAACUUCAGGAAACUGGGGCUAAUACCGGAUAGGAGCUCCUGCUGCAUGGUGGGGGUUGGAAAGUUUCGGCGGUUGGGGAUGGACUCGCGGCUUAUCAGCUUGUUGGUGGGGUAGUGGCUUACCAAGGCUUUGACGGGUAGCCGGCCUGAGAGGGUGACCGGCCACAUUGGGACUGAGAUACGGCCCAGACUCCUACGGGAGGCAGCGGUGGGGAAGAUUGCACAAUGGGCGGAAGCCUGAUGCAGCAACGCCGCGUGCGGGAUGACGGCCUACGGGUUGUAAACCGCUUUCGCCUGUGACGAAGCGUGAGUGACGGUAAUGGGUAAAGAAGCACCGGCUAACUACGUG
rnacentral:rRNA from 1 species